AGAGUUUGAUCCUGGCUCAGGAUGAACGCUGGCGGCGUGCUUAACACAUGCAAGUCGAGCGAAGCACUUGAGUUUGAUUCUUCGGAUGAAGACUUUUGUGACUGAGCGGCGGACGGGUGAGUAACGCGUGGGUAACCUGCCUCAUACAGGGGGAUAACAGUUAGAAAUGACUGCUAAUACCGCAUAAGCGCACAGCAUCGCAUGAUGCAGUGUGAAAAACUCCGGUGGUAUAAGAUGGACCCGCGUUGGAUUAGCUAGUUGGUGAGGUAACGGCCCACCAAGGCGACGAUCCAUAGCCGACCUGAGAGGGUGACCGGCCACAUUGGGACUGAGACACGGCCCAAACUCCUACGGGAGGCAGCAGUGGGGAAUAUUGCACAAUGGGCGAAAGCCUGAUGCAGCGACGCCGCGUGAGCGAAGAAGUAUUUCGGUAUGUAAAGCUCUAUCAGCAGGGAAGAUAAUGACGGUACCUGACUAAGAAACACCGGCUAAAUACGUGCCAGCAGCCGCGGUAAUACGUAUGGUGCAAGCGUUAUCCGGAUUUACUGGGUGUAAAGGGAGCGCAGGCGGUGCGGCAAGUCUGAUGUGAAAGCCCGGGGCUCAACCCCGGUACUGCAUUGGAAACUGUCGUACUAGAGUGUCGGAGGGGUAAGCGGAAUUCCUAGUGUAGCGGUGAAAUGCGUAGAUAUUAGGAGGAACACCAGUGGCGAAGGCGGCUUACUGGACGAUAAAUGACGCUGAGGCUCGAAAGCGUGGGGAGCAAACAGGAUUAGAUACCCUGGUAGUCCACGCCGUAAACGAUGAAUACUAGGUGUGGGAAACAUUACUUUUCGGGCCGGUCGCAAACGCAGUAAGUAUUCCACCGGGGGAGUACGUUCGCAAGAAUGAAACUCAAAGGAAUGGACGGGGACCCGCACAAGCGGGUGGAGCAUGUGGUUUUAAUUAGAAGCAACGCGAAGAACCUUACCAAGUCUUGACAUCCUUCUGACCGGUACUUAACCGUACUUUCUCUUCGGAGCAGGAGUGACAGGUGGUGCAUGGUUGUCGUCAGCUCGUGUCGUGAGAUGUUGGGUUAAGUCCCGCAACGAGCGCAACCCUUAUCUUUAGUAGCCAGCGGUCCGGCCGGGCACUCUAGAGAGACUGCCAGGGAUAACCUGGAGGAAGGCGGGGAUGACGUCAAAUCAUCAUGCCCCUUAUGACUUGGGCUACACACGUGCUACAAUGGCGUAAACAAAGGGAAGCAAAGCUGUGAAGCCGAGCAAAUCUCAAAAAUAACGUCUCAGUUCGGACUGUAGUCUGCAACCCGACUACACGAAGCUGGAAUCGCUAGUAAUCGCAGAUCAGAAUGCUGCGGUGAAUACGUUCCCGGGUCUUGCACUCACCGCACGUCA
rnacentral:rRNA from 1 species